UUAAAACAUUUUACAGUUAUAGUAAAGGCGAUUAAAAAAUCUUUCGGAGUAAUAUUUCUAGUACCGCAAGGGAACAGUGAAAUAAAAAUGAAAUAACUAUCAAGCACCUAGCAGUAGAGACCUCCCCUCGUACCUUUUGCAUCAUGAUUUAACUAGUUAAUCCAAGCAAAAAGCACUAAAGUUUGCCCCCCCGAAACUAAGCGAGCUACUUCAAGGCAGUUCAAGAACUAACCCGUCUCUGUAGCAAAAGAGUGGGAAGACCUUCAAGUAGAGGUGAUAGACCUAACGAGCUUAGUGAUAGCUGGUUACUUAAGAAAAGGAUCUUAGUCCAACCCAACUUUUAUAAAAUACACCUAAAUAAAAAUUAAAUUUUGGAGUAAUUCAAAUAAGGUACAGCCUAUUUGAACCAGGAUACAACCUUUAUAAAUGGGUAAUUAAACUCUUAUGUAAUAAAGUAGGCCUAAAAGCAGCCACCUUCAAAAAGCGUCAAAGCUUAUUCACAAAUCAACUUAAUCCCCCUAAUCUUUAAAAACCCUUAAUCUUUAUUAAGUAACUCUAUAACAUUAUAGAACCUAUUAUGUUAAAACUAGUAACAAGAAUCAAAACUUCUCUUUAAUGCAAGUGUAAAUCAGACUGGACAAACCACUGAUUUUUAACACUUUGAAGCCAAAGUAAUAACCUUUCAAGAAAAUUUUACUUCACCCAAUGUUAACCUAACACAAGAGCAUUCUUAGACAGAUUAAAAGGAAAAGAAGGAACUCGGCAAAUAUUAACCUCGCCUGUUUACCAAAAACAUCGCCUCUUGACAACAUAUGAGAGGUCUAGCCUGCCCAGUGACUCUGUUCAACGGCCGCGGUAUCCUAACCGUGCGAAGGUAGCGUAAUCACUUGUUCUUUAAAUGAGGACUAGUAUGAAUGGCAUUACGAGGGUUAUACUGUCUCCUUUCCCUAAUCAGUGAAACUAAUCUCCUCGUGAAGAAGCAAGGAUAAACAUAUAAGACGAGAAGACCCUAUGGAGCUUUAAACUUUCAGCAAUUAUCUUUUUUUAUU
rnacentral:rRNA from 1 species